rnacentral:piRNA from 1 species
UAUGGCUGGCCUGAUUUACCACAU